UUCGAGAGGAUGUCGAUCAGCUCUUCGAGAUUUUAGAAGGACUCAUCUCUACCCAGUAGGCAAGGGAAAGAGGAGGGAACUGUUUGACCAUCCACCACUUUAAUAAUAUGAGCCACCCCAACAAUGAGAGGAUCUGACGCCACCUCGAUGCAACCCUGCUCCUCUGUCAUAUCAUCCGACACCGUCACAAUACUAUUCGAAGCCCCCCACCGUAUCAUCCGACACCAUUACAGGGCUAGCCAGUCCCUCCCCAGCAACAUCUGGCCCCUCUUCCACGGGACUUGAUUUCACCCAUGAUGGACCUGAAUGAGAUUGACAUGGGGGACCCUGA
rnacentral:lncRNA from 1 species